rnacentral:rRNA from 1 species
AUUGAACGCUGGCGGCAGGCUUAACACAUGCAAGUCGAGCGGAGAUGAGGUGCUUGCACCUUAUCUUAGCGGCGGACGGGUGAGUAAUGCUUAGGAAUCUGCCUAUUAGUGGGGGACAACAUUCCGAAAGGAAUGCUAAUACCGCAUACGUCCUACGGGAGAAAGCAGGGGAUCUUCGGACCUUGCGCUAAUAGAUGAGCCUAAGUCGGCCUAGCUAGUUGGUGGGGUAAAGGCCUACCAAGGCGACGAUAUGUGGCGGGUCUGAGAGGAUGAUCCGCCACACUGGGGCUGAGACACGGCCCAGACUCCGACGGGAGGUAGCAGUGGGGAAUAUUGGACAAUGGGGGGAACCCUGAUCCAGCCAUGCCGCGUGUGUGAAGAAGGCCUUAUGGUUGUAAAGCACUUUAAGCGAGGAGGAGGCUACUGAGACUAAUACUCUUGGAUAGUGGACGUUACUCGCAGAAUAAGCACCGGCUAACUCUGUGCCAGCCGCCGCCGUAA